AUGCUGUGCAGAUGGGCCUGGGGACUGUGAAGGCCUCCUGCUUCUAGAUACCUGGGUAUGGGGUCUCAGUUUUAUCACCAUCGCGGCUGUGGGCACCUGGGGGACCUG